UAUAAAGGGCCCCUAAAUUACCAGUAUGACCAGUAUAAAACAAUUCAGAUGAGAAAACCAAUAAAAGAAAAACAAGUGUGAAAAUACAGCAACAAACAAAAACCACAGCCGGGUUAAACAUUUUUUCUGGAUCCAAGAUUCCCUUAGACAGCGGUGGUAUACAGCACGAUAAAAAUCAGUUGAAAACGACCAAAAAUCAUCAAAUUGAUAUAGGCCAAA
rnacentral:lncRNA from 1 species